AUCGAACGCUGGCGGCAGGCUUAACACAUGCAAGUCGAGCGAGCGGCGGACGGGUGAGUAACGUCUGGGAAACUGCCUGUUGGAGGGGGAACACCACUGGAAACGGUAGCCAAUACCGCAUACCAUCCGUUGAGCCUAGCUGGGAUUAGCUAGAUGGUGGGGUAAUGGCUCACCUAGGCGACGAUCCCUAGCUGGUCCUAGAGGAUGACCGGCCCCACUGGAACUGUGACACGGCCCAGACUCCUACGGGAGGCAGCAGUGGGGAAUCUUGGACAAUGGGCGAAAGCCUGAUGCAGCCAUGCCGCGUGUGUGAAGAAGGCCUUCGGGUUGUAAAACACUUUCAGCGAGGAGGCGUUACUCGCAGAAGAAGCACCGGCUAACUCCGUGCCAGCAGCCGCGGUAAUUC
rnacentral:rRNA from 1 species